rnacentral:rRNA from 1 species
CGGGGUGAGUAAUGUAUGGGGAUCUGCCUGAUGGCGGGGGAUAACUACUGGAAACGGUAGCUAAUACCGCAUAAUGUCUGCGGACCAAAGCGGGGGACCUCCGGGCCUCGCGCCAUCAGAUGAACCCAUAUGGGAUUAGCUAGUAGGUAAGGUAACGGCUUACCUAGGCGACGAUCCCUAGCUGGUCUGAGAGGAUGAUCAGCCACACUGGACUGAGACACGGCCCAG